rnacentral:rRNA from 1 species
AGUGAACGCUGGCGGUAGGCCUAACACAUGCAAGUCGAACGGCAGCACAGUAAGAGCUUGCUCUUACGGGUGGCGAGUGGCGGACGGGUGAGGAAUACAUCGGAAUCUACUUUUUCGUGGGGGAUAACGUAGGGAAACUUACGCUAAUACCGCAUACGACCUACGGGUGAAAGCAGUGGAUCUUCGGACCUUUCGCGAUUGAAUGAGCCGAUGUCGGAUUAGCUAGUUGGCGGGGUAAAGGCCCACCAAGGCGACGAUCCGUAGCUGGUCUGAGAGGAUGAUCGGCCACACUGGAACUGAGACACGGUCCAGACUCCUACGGGAGGCAGCAGUGGGGAAUAUUGGACAAUGGGCGCAAGCCUGAUCCAGCCAUACCGCGUGAGUGAAGAAGGCCUUCGGGUUGUAAAGCCCUUUUGUUGGGAAAGAAAAGCAGCAGGUUAAUACCCCGCUGUUCUGACGGUACCCAAAGAAUAAGCACCGGCUAACUUCGUG